GACGAACGCUGGCGGCGUGCCUAAUACAUGCAAGUAGAACGCACAGUUUAUACCGUAGCUUGCUACACCAUAGACUGUGAGUUGCGAACGGGUGAGUAACGCGUAGGUAACCUGCCUGGUAGCGGGGGAUAACUAUUGGAAACGAUAGCUAAUACCGCAUAAUAUUGAUUAUUGCAUGAUAAUUGAUUGAAAGAUGCUAUUGCAUCACUACCAGAUGGACCUGCGUUGUAUUAGCUAGUAGGUGAGGUAACGGCUCACCUAGGCGACGAUACAUAGCCGACCUGAGAGGGUGAGCGGCCACACUGGGACUGAGACACGGCCCAGACUCCUACGGGAGGCAGCAGUAGGGAAUCUUCGGCAAUGGACGAAAGUCUGACCGAGAAACGCCGCGGGCGUGAAGAAGGUUUUCGGAUCGGAAAGCUCGGUUGUAAGAGAAGAACGGGUGUGAGAGUGGAAAGUUCACACUGUGACGGUAUCUGACCAGAAAGGGACGGCUAACUACGUG
rnacentral:rRNA from 1 species